rnacentral:rRNA from 1 species
UACGAAGGGGGCUAGCGUUGCUCGGAAUCACUGGGCGUAAAGCGCACGUAGGCGGAUCUUUAAGUCAGGGGUGAAAUCCCGAGGCUCAACCUCGGAACUGCCUUUGAUACUGGGGAUCUCGAGUCCGGGAGAGGUGAGUGGAACUGCGAGUGUAGAGGUGAAAUUCGUAGAUAUUCGCAAGAACACCAGUGGCGAAGGCGGCUCACUGGCCCGAACUGACGCUGAGGUGCGAAAGCGUGGGGAGCAAACA